UUCACUUUUAAUGAAUAAAACGAAUGAAUGAAUGAUUGUCUUCACUGAACCCCAAAUAGCUUGUUUUUGCUACUGCACCAAAAGAUGGGUACGAGUGAGAUGUUUGCUAUCUGAAAGAUGAAGAUACUUGCUAUCUACAUAGAAUUUACUAUUUAGAUAGAAUAUUAAUCUAAAAUCUGUUCAAGGAGAUAGGAAACUACAGGAAUAUAUUCUAAUUGAUGCAAGAUUAUAGAGCCCAGUGGUCAAGAAAGAAUUCUUGAGAUGUUUACUGUACAAUAAGGUGUUUUUAUUAUAUAGCAUAGGGUCAGGACCCAUGGGCAGAAAGAACUACACUGGGAUUAUGAGCAACUAUUGAUUAUAUGCUUUUAAAUUUGGGGGCUGGGAAGGGUAGAGAUAACCUAGGUCUCUAAAGUGAGUUUUGCAUGAAAAGAAGAGUUACAGGAUCCUGGAGGUCUGGCUAUUGUCAAGAUAAGGUGGUUUUUAGUUUCUAGCAAAACAUUAACAGUAAGGCAGCCAUGAGUUCCUUGAGGAAUACCACAUAUAUCCCACCUCUGGUAGGAUAGAGGGGAGAGCGUUAGCUUGUGGUUUGCCUUCAGUUUGCCUUUUGCUCCCUCAUAUAUUUUUACAAAUAUAGAUAAUCCCAGCAACAACCAGAGUGGAAAGAGGGAAUAACGGUAAAAGCAUAGUAUUAUAUAACUUUUUGCGUUAAACUGAUCUGUGCUAGAAAAGUCAUUCACUGUUUUUAGAUUGGAAAAGGAAUUACUUUUGAAACAUUUUUCUCUACUAACAUACAUAUGUUGUUUGUGUGUUAUUUUAAUCUGAAACUAUGAGGUUGAGAUUAAAGCAGUGAUGUUUUAAAGUUUUUUCAGAGAAAAAAUAACCUAGGCUUUCAUUAUCUGCUAAAAGAUGCCUAAUGUAAUAGUCUCAUUUUUAAACAAAUACCUAUUUCUAAUAUUUUUAAAUUGCCGUAAAUGUUUAUUCUAAUACACCAGUGGAUGUAGUCUCCAAAAUACCAGUACCCAGCUUGUCAU